rnacentral:rRNA from 1 species
GAUGAACGCUGGCGGCGUGCCUAAUACAUGCAAGUCGAGCGAACGGAUGAGAAGCUGGCGUCUCUGAUGUUAGCGGCGGACGGGUGAGUAACAUGUGGAUAACCUACCUAUAAGACAGGGAGAACUUCGGGAGACCGUAGCUAAGGCCGGAUAAUAUUUUGAACAGCAUGGGUCAAAAGUGAAAUACGGUCUUGCUGUCACUUAUAGAUGGAAACGCGCUGCAUUAGCUAUUUGGUAAGGUAACGGCUUACCAAGGCAACGAUGCAUAACCGACCUGACAGCGUGCUCGGGCACACUGGAACUGAGACACGGCCCAGCCGCCUAUGGGAGGCAGCCGAAGCGCCUACGCGGGGCUGCGGGAAAGAAUGACGCACAAAGGCCGCGUGAGUGAUGAAGGUCUUCCGCUCGUAAGACGAUGUUAUUAGGGUAGAAAAUAUGUGUAAGUAACUGAGCACAUCUUGACGGUACCUAAUCAGAAAGCAACGGCUAACUCCGUG